GUUCUCGCUCCGUGUCCUCCCCGUGUUAUGCACACACAGUAGUUGCGACUUUCCUGUCGCAAUGAAUCAAUAUUUCCAAAGCACACAUCCUAACAGGGGGUGAUGUAAAGAAACCCAUAGAUUAAUUGGGUCCCGUUUCUGAGUCGGCUGUGUCUUCCUUAUCGAUACACACUUUACACCCGAAACCAGACAGUCGGAUUUCCUCCUACUUUUCAGGGUAUGUGUGAUCUCCUCCCAUGAGAGGCAACUCAGCAGCUCGGUCCCCUCUGCCAUCUCAGCACUGCCAGUGGAGAAGCCCAGGAGGAGCAGAGCAGUGCCUGAGCAGCAAUUUGAAUAUCCAUAUUUAACUCUUCAAACAACAGAAGACACUUCAGAACCAUGUUAAGAAGGAUAAGCUUGGAGUGCCCAGUCACCGUGGUAACUGCCAGAAAAAUUCUCCUGAAGUUUGAAGAGGUCAGCUAACGGGGUCAACAACUCUGGCCUCUCUCUGAGCUGGGCCUGGCAGGCUCCAUCCUGCGGUUGGGGUGUUAGCGCAGGCUGAGCCCUGGGAGGUGGACCAUUCCAGCUCUGAUAUAAAUUUUUUGAGUCAGUUCACGGCCUGGACUCUCCAGGUGGCCUCCAAAAUCGAUUGUGACCUUGUGACCCUGUCUAACGGAGGCAUAGCAUCCAACCUAAGUAAGGAUUUAGCCAGGAACGACAGCUUUCCACUGAGUGUUAUUGGGGACAGUACAAACAGUUUGGGAAGCAAGGAGGUAGGUAUGAGGAGUAGAGGUCAUUAAAAGCAUAUUAAAAAACAAUUUUAAAAAUCCUUUUUAGUUGAAAGUUUUUAUUUGCAGUAGCCAUUCCUUAAAUAAAUCCUUCUGGUAACUAUUUUUUCCUUCCAUAAUAA